rnacentral:rRNA from 1 species
GACGAACGCUGGCGGCGUGCUUAACACAUGCAAGUCGAACGAAGUGGCGAACGGGUGAGUAAUACGUGAGUAACCUGCCCUCCUUUUUGGGAUAAGCCUUGGAAACGGGGUCUAAUACCGAAUAAAGGGGGAUGGGCUCGCUGCCUAUCAGCUUGUUGGGGGGGUGAUGGCCUACAAAGGCGGUGACGGGUAGCCGGCCUGAGAGGGUGACCGGCGAAAUGGGGCCUGGGAUACGGCCCUGACGGCGACGGGAGGCGGGAGUGGGGGAUAUUGCACAAUAGGCGAAAGCCUUAUGGAGCGACGACGCGUGGAGGUUGAAGGCUUUCGGGUUGUAAUCCUCUUUCGCUAUCGAACCGGUAGGUAGAGAAGAAGCGCCGGCUAACUACGUGCCAGCAGCCGCGGUAAUUC